CACAUUGCACAUGAUUUUCUUAUCAGUGUGGCGGAAUUUAAUUUCUCCUUUCGCCGAAUAAAAGAUAUGAGUGCGAUGAAAGUUCUGUUUAGGAUUUUGUUAGUAAUCUGCAUGAAUGGCUUUGUUCAUGGAUUUCUUGACCCCAUACACCAUUCACAAGAUUUGUCAUGUGUAGAGAAGAACCCCGCUCAGUUCCAGCAAUACAAGCACUUUUUCUGCGAUCCUUCUCGUCCCGGGGGAGUCGAUGUUUGCCCAGUGACGUGUUAAAAGCCCGGAUGUUCAGCUGACGGUGGUACUUCAACUUUGAUUCCAACAUCAGACUGCGUAGACCCAUUACCGACAAGCCAAUUGAAUAUCUACAACGAAGUGUACAAGUUUGUGACGGCACGGAUCAAGACAUUCUGAAAUACUGCUGCUUUUACUGUAAAAGGAUCCACAACCCACACUGGGUGUGUUCAUCUGUCGACAGAGAAUUUUGCGGAGUAUACGAAAAACCGCACUA